rnacentral:rRNA from 1 species
AUUGAACGCUGGCGGCAGGCUUAACACAUGCAAGUCGAGCGAGCGGCGGACGGGUGAGUAAUGUCUGGGAAACUGCCUGAUGGAGGGGGAUAACUACUGAAAACGGUAGCUAAUACCGCAUCCCAUCAGAUGUGCCCAGAUGGGAUUGGCUAGUAGGGGGGGUAAUGGCUCACCUAGGCGACGAUCCCUCGCUGGUCUGAGAGGAUGACCAGCCACACUGGAACUGAGACACGGUCCAGACUCCUACGGGAGGCAGCAGUGGGGAAUAUUGCACAAUGGGCGCAAGCCUGAUGCAGCCAUGCCGCGUGUGUGAAGAAGGCCUUCGGGUUGUAAAGUACUUUCAGGGGGGAGGCGUUACCCACAGAAGAAGCACCGGCUAACUCCGUGCCAGCAGCCGCGGUAAUAC